UAAAUUUUAUUUAUUAAUUUUAUUUAUUUAAGUAUUAUAUUUAAUAAAAAUAAUUUUAAUUCAAUAUAGUUUUAGUAUUUUUUAAAGAAAUAAUAAUUUUAAUAAUAGUUUAUUUGUAUUGUAAAAGAAGAUUGAAAUAAUUUGAAAAAUUUUUAUUUUAAAAGAAAAUUUAAUUUAUUGUACCUUGUGUAUCAGGGUUUAUUAAUUAAUUAAUUAUUAUAGUAAUUUUUCUCGAAUUUUAAAGAUUUAAUUAUAUAUAAAAGUUAUUGUGGAAUAAUUAUUUUUAAUAUAUAAUUAGAAAUGAAAUGUUAAUCGUUUUAAAAUAUAUCUAGUUUUUUAAGAAAUAAAUUUAAUUUAGAUUUAUAAAUUAAAAGUAUUAUUUAUUUAAUAUUUUUAAUUUAUAAAAUUAAUAUUUUAAGGGAUUAGCUUUAAAAUAAAUUUUUAAAUUUUAAAAAAGUAUUUAAUAAAUGUAAGCUUAAAAAUAGUUAUCAUUAAUAAAUUUGUUAUAAUUUAUUUUAAAUUUUUUAUUAUUUAUUAUAAAAUUAAAUUAUUUAUUAAAAUAUAAAUUUUAAUAUUAAUGAUUUAUAAAUUAUGAUAAAAUUAGUAUAUUUAAUUUAUAUAAAUUAUUUAAAUUGAGAGGUUUAAAUAAGGAAUUCGGCAAAUUAUAUAUUCACCUGUUUAUCAAAAACAUGUCUUUUUGUAUUUAAUUUAAAGUCUAACCUGCCCACUGAUAGAUAUUAAAGGGCCGCAGUAUUUUGACUGUGCGAAGGUAGCAUAAUCAGUAGUCUUUUAAUUGAAGGCUUGUAUGAAUGGUUGAAUGAGAUAUAUACUGUCUUUUUUAAAUUUUUAUAGAAUUUUAUUUUUUAAUUAAAAAGUUAAAAUAUAAUUAAAAGACGAGAAGACCCUAUAGAUCUUUAUUUUUUUUAAUUAUAAGUUAAAAAGAAUAAUUAAAUUUAUAGUUUUAUAAAAAAUUUUACUGGGGUGGUAUUAAAAUUUAAUUAACUUUUAUUAUUUGUUUACAUUAAUAUAUGUAUAUUUGAUCCAAUUUUAUUGAUUAAAAAAUUAAGUUACCUUAGGGAUAACAGCGUAAUUUUUUUUUAGAGUUCUUAUCGACAAAAAAGAUUGCGACCUCGAUGUUGGAUUAAGAAUUAUUUUUAGGUGUAGAAGUUUAAAGUUUAGGUCUGUUCGACCUUUGAAUUCUUACAUGAUCUGAGUUCAAACCGGCGUAAGCCAGGUUGGUUUCUAUCUUUAAUAAAUUAUUAUAUUAUAGUACGAAAGGACCUAAUAUAAAAAAUAUAAAUUUUAAAUUUAUGAAUUAUAUUAAUAUUUAAUAA
rnacentral:rRNA from 1 species